GCCAGUGUGGUAUAGUGGUUUGAACAUUGGACUAAGACUCUGAAAAGCAGGGUUCAAAUCCCCAUUCAGCCA